GACGAACGCUGGCGGCGUGCUUAACACAUGCAAGUCGAACGCUGAAGACCUGGCUUUUGUUGUGUUGUAUGAGUGGCGAACGGGUGAGUAACACGUGAGUAACCUGCCUUCUUCUUUGGGAUAACUCCCGGAAACGGGUGCUAAUACUGGAUAUUCACUGAUCUUCGCUUGGGGGUUGGUGGAAGGGUUUGUUCUGGUGGGUUAUGGGCUCGCGGCCUAUCAGUUUGUUGGUGGGGUGAGGGCCUAAAAAGGCUUUGACGGGUAGCCGGCCUGCGUGGGUGACCGGUGAAAUUGGAAAUGAGACACGGCCCAAACGCCUACGGGAGGCGGCAGUGGGGAAUAUUGCACAAUGGGCGAAAGCAUGAUGCAGCGACGACGCGUGAGGGAUGGAGGCCUUCGGGUUGUAAACCUCAUUCGCUAAUGGUCAAGCCGCAACUGUGGGUUGUGGUGAGGGUAGUGGGUAAAGAAGCGCCGGCUAACUACGUG
rnacentral:rRNA from 1 species